ensembl:lncRNA
UUUCAGUUAACUCCAGUCCUUGGUUCUGGGUUGGCCUACAGGAGGAUUUCCAAUUCAAAGUGAUGGACAACAGGAUUCAUGGACGUAAAAUAACAAUUACAUAUCAGAAGCCACACCGCCAACGCCGCCAACGGCACCAACAGCAGUAGCACCACCGCCAACGGCACACCAACACUAACCGCAGCUGAUGGUGACUAGAAGAAACACAUCUGCUUACGUUUUCCUGGGUCUGAUAAAGAGGAAGCAUCUGUAACUGUCGAAGAUGAGCGUGACUAGAAGAAACACAUCUGCUUACGUUUUCCUGGGUCUGAUAAAGAGGAAGCAUCUGUAACUGUCGAAGAUGAGCGGUCAGUUGACAAGUAUGAAGCUAUUAGGAAGCAACAGGUGACUAAAUAGACCUUAGUUAAUAGUGUUACAAGCAUGGAUUUCUCUCUUACCAGUGCCAAAUCUCUUGCAGAUUUCACUUCUCCUUCGUCUGACGCAUUUCACAGUCAGAUUCAAACAUUCAUCUUGUAUGGGCAAUGUCAUGUAAUCAUGAAUUUCCUUUACUGUCUAAGCAAAAAAACAAUUGGACAGACAUGAUUCCAGUAAAACGUUAUCAAAUACAAUUAAAAGUAUCACAGAUUAAGAAGCUGCAUGCGUCUACAGUUUACCCUUUAUGUUACUCGUAUUAAGCCUACUAUGCAAAUAUGGGUGACAUAUUCAUUUGAGAGCUUAUAUGGCCCAUUUCAUUUCUAGAAUGCUAAGAGAAAAAAAGUCGAUCAUGGCUUCAGACAGUUUGAUCUAACCUGAUUAUCGUGGUAGAUUUGAAGUUGGUCGCACACUUCAUCGAAGGGGUACUUAUAUCUACCGUUGACGGUAAUGUUUUUACAUUGUACAGGUACCUCUUCGGGGGGUUUUAGACAGUAUAUGCGGUCUAAAAACGCGAUAGGGUUAUUGUUAGAUUAUACAUGCCUUUUGAAUGUAAAAUGUUAAUACAACUGUAUCCAACACAAUCACUAUUAUGCUAUCGACUGCAGCAGUUUAUACAUAAAUAAACAUAUUGCAACAUUCCUUUAAAUGAUCGUAGGCCAAGCCCACAGUUCACUUUAAACACGUGUCCAGCCUACUUCCAGACUAAUUUAACAAAGUUAAUCUGAGAAAUUAAUAAAAUUAAUAAAUUAA